rfam:Pseudomonas cichorii JBC1, complete genome.
UUCUAUGGCGGACCGUGCGGGGCAGGCUUCGGUCUGGCCGGUUUCCUCAGACGCCGGUUUGCGACCCUCGUACGGUCUGCCACCCUU